rnacentral:tRNA from 1 species
GGAGAGAUGACCGAGUGGCUGAAGGUGCUCGCCUGCUAAGCGAGUGUAGAGCUAAUAACUCUACCGAGGGUUCGAAUCCCUCUCUCUCCGCCA